AGAGUUUGAUCAUGGCUCAGGACGAACGCUGGCGGCGUGCCUAAUACAUGCAAGUCGAGCGAAUUUACGAGAGCUUGCUCUCGUAAAUUAGCGGCGGACGGGUGAGUAACACGUGGGCAACCUGCCUAUAAGACUGGGAUAACUUCGGGAAACCGGAGCUAAUACCGGAUAAUUCACAUCUACUCAUGUAGAUGUGCUGAAAGACGGUUUACGCUGUCACUUAUAGAUGGGCCCGCGGCGCAUUAGCUAGUUGGUGAGGUAACGGCUCACCAAGGCCACGAUGCGUAGCCGACCUGAGAGGGUGAUCGGCCACACUGGGACUGAGACACGGCCCAGACUCCUACGGGAGGCGGCAGUAGGGAAUCUUCCGCAAUGGACGAAAGUCUGACGGAGCAACGCCGCGUGAGUGAUGAAGGUUUUCGGAUCGUAAAACUCUGUUGUUAGGGAAGAACAAGUACCAGAGUAACUGCUGGUACCUUGACGGUACCUAACCAGAAGUC
rnacentral:rRNA from 1 species